AUUGAACGCUGGCGGCAUGCUUUACACAUGCAAGUCGAACGGUAACAGGUUAAGCUGACGAGUGGCGAACGGGUGAGUAAUGCAUCGGAACGUGCCCGGUCGUGGGGGAUAACGCAGCGAAAGCUGCGCUAAUACCGCAUACGAUCUGAGGAUGAAAGCGGGGGACCGUAAGGCCUCGCGCGAUCGGAGCGGCCGAUGUCAGAUUAGGUAGUUGGUGGGGUAAAGGCUAAACAAGCCAACGAUCUGUGGCUGGUCUGAGAGGACGACCAGCCACACUGGGACUGAGACACGGCCCAGACUCCUACGGGAGGCAGCAGUGGGGAAUUUUGGACAAUGGGCGAAAGCCUGAUCCAGCAAUGCCGCGUGCAGGAAGAAGGCCUUCGGGUUGUAAACUGCUUUUGUACGGAGCGAAAAGGUCUCCUCUAAUACAGGGGGCUCAUGACGGUACCGUAAGAAUAAGCACCGGCUAACUACGUGCCAGCCGCCGCCGUAA
rnacentral:rRNA from 1 species